rnacentral:lncRNA from 1 species
AGCCGGAGAAACACAGUGGUCCGGAGCUGGAGCGGACGGGAAGGCUCUUUGGAGGUUUGAUCCGGGAUGUGAAGCGGAAAGCCCCGUGGUUCUGGAGCGAUUUUCGGGAUGGGCUGAGGCUGCAGUGUCUGGCGUCCUUCCUCUUCCUCUACUGUGCCUGCAUGUCCCCCGUCAUCACCUUCGGGGGGCUGCUGGGGGAGGCGACCGACGGCCACAUCAGUGCCAUGGAGUCGUUGCUGGGCGCAUCCAUGACCGGAGUGGUGUAUUCCCUCUUUGCCGGCCAACCCCUCACCAUCCUCGGCAGCACCGGACCCGUCCUUGUCUUCGAGAAGAUCCUCUACAAAUUCUGCAAGUAAGGCUGCCUGCCGCGGCUGGGUGCUGCCAGAGCUGCCACA